GCACAAGCGGUGGAUGAUGUGAUUUAAUUCGAUGCAACGCGAAAACCUUACCCACCUUUGACAUGUACGGAAUCCUUUAGAGAUAGAGGAGUGCUCGAAAGAGAGCCGUAACACAGGUGCUGCAUGGCUGUCGUCAGCUCGUGUCGUGAGAUGUUGGGUUAAGUCCCGCAACGAGCGCAACCCUUGUCAUUAGUUGCUACAUUCAGUUGGGCACUCUAAUGAGACUGCCGGUGACAAACCGGAGGAAGGUGGGGAUGACGUCAAGUCCUCAUGGCCCUUAUAGGUGGGGCUACACACGUCAUACAAUGGAUGGUACAAAGGGUCGCCAACCCGCGAGGGGGAGCCAAUCCCAUAAAGCCAUUCGUAGUCCGGAUCGCAGUCUGCAACUCGACUGCGUGAAGUCGGAAUCGCUAGUAAUCGUGGAUCAGAAUGUCACGGUGAAUACGUUCCCGGGUCUU
rnacentral:rRNA from 1 species